AUUGAACGCUGGCGGCAGGCCUAACACAUGCAAGUCGAACGGUAACAGGAAGAAGCUUGCUUCUUUGCUGACGAGUGGCGGACGGGUGAGUAAUGUCUGGGAAACUGCCUGAUGGAGGGGGAUAACUACUGGAAACGGUAGCUAAUACCGCAUAACGUCGCAAGACCAAAGAGGGGGACCUUCGGGCCUCUUGCCAUCGGAUGUGCCCAGAUGGGAUUAGCUAGUAGGUGGGGUAACGGCUCACCUAGGCGACGAUCCCUAGCUGGUCUGAGAGGAUGACCAGCCACACUGGAACUGAGACACGGUCCAGACUCCUACGGGAGGCAGCAGUGGGGAAUAUUGCACAAUGGGCGCAAGCCUGAUGCAGCCAUGCCGCGUGUAUGAAGAAGGCCUUCGGGUGGUAAAGUACUUUCAGCGGGGAGGAAGGGAGCAAAGUUAAUACCUUUGCUCAUUGACGUUACCCGCAGAAGAAGCACCGGCUAACUCCGUG
rnacentral:rRNA from 1 species